AUCUAACUGACGAGUCCCAAAUAGGGUGAAACGUGCUUCCUGGAU
rnacentral:hammerhead_ribozyme from 1 species